AAGGUCUCCGUUGGUGAACCAGCGGAGGGAUCAUUACUGAGUUUACGCUCUAUAACCCUUUGUGAACAUACCUAUAACUGUUGCUUCGGCGGGUAGGGUCUCCGUGACCCUCCCGGCCUCCCGCCCCCGGGCGGGUCGGCGCCCGCCGGAGGAUAACCAAACUCUGAUUUAACGACGUUUCUUCUGAGUGGUACAAGCAAAUAAUCAAAACUUUUAACAACGGAUCUCUUGGUUCUGGCAUCGAUGAAGAACGCAGCGAAAUGCGAUAAGUAAUGUGAAUUGCAGAAUUCAGUGAAUCAUCGAAUCUUUGAACGCACAUUGCGCCCGCCAGCAUUCUGGCGGGCAUGCCUGUUCGAGCGUCAUUUCAACCCUCAAGCUCUGCUUGGUGUUGGGGCCCUACAGCUGAUGUAGGCCCUCAAAGGUAGUGGCGGACCCUCCCGGAGCCUCCUUUGCGUAGUAACUUUACGUCUCGCACUGGGAUCCGGAGGGACUCUUGCCGUAAAACCCCCAAUUUUCCAAAGGUUGACCUCGGAUCAGGUAGGAAUACCCGCUGAACUUAAGCAUAUCAA
rnacentral:rRNA from 1 species